AGUGAACGCUGGCGGUAGGCCUAACACAUGCAAGUCGAACGGCAGCACAGUAAGAGCUUGCUCUUACGGGUGGCGAGUGGCGGACGGGUGAGGAAUACAUCGGAAUCUACUUUUUCGUGGGGGAUAACGUAGGGAAACUUACGCUAAUACCGCAUACGACCUACGGGUGAAAGCAGGGGAUCUUCGGACCUUGCGCGAUUGAAUGAGCCGAUGUCGGAUUAGCUAGUUGGCGGGGUAAAGGCCCACCAAGGCGACGAUCCGUAGCUGGUCUGAGAGGAUGAUCAGCCACACUGGAACUGAGACACGGUCCAGACUCCUACGGGAGGCAGAGGUGGGGAAUAUUGGACAAUGGGCGCAAGCCUGAUCCAGCCAUACCGCGUGGGUGAAGAAGGCCUUCGGGUUGUAAAGCCCUUUUGUUGGGAAAGAAAAGCAGCAGGUUAAUACCCCGCUGUUCUGACGGUACCCAAAGAAUAAGCACCGGCUAACUUCGU
rnacentral:rRNA from 1 species